AACAUUGCCUAUGGAUCAAUAUCAGUAUAUUACAAUUAGACCUCCUCGAAGAGAAAAAGAUUGAAUGUUGCAAAACAUGUCGACGUUUAUUGCUAGAAGGUAGCCAAACAUUAUGCUAAGCUAUUCAUCGAGAGAAGCACUCAGAUCGACCAUUCCAUCGAAGCAUCAUCAGUGAAGAAAGUGGGCACCAAAGAGGGAUGGGCUAUAUGUGAUAAAAGAUUCUUUUCAAGAAUUCUUACCGCCUCAGACGAGUGACUAGCGACGACAGCGGCGACUGGCGACGGCAGUGGCGACUGGCGACGGCAGCGGCGACUGCGACCAGCGACAUCAGCGACAACUGCGACUGGUGACGGCAGCGACGACCGGUGAUAGCAGAUGGUAGGAGGCGACUGUCACGCCAGUCUUCCUCUCCUGCCGCUCGAAACUCUCACACGGAAGUCGUCUCUCUCGCCGCCUCACUCUCCUAUACACUCGCUGUCUCCCUCUCCUACUGCUCGAAACCCUCACACUGAAGUCACCUCUCUCACCUUUCGAUCGACCUUCUCUGUCUCUGUGUCUCCUUGUUUCCUUAUGCAAUACGUGUCAUGCCUCUUUUGUUUUCUCCUACCAAUUUUAGAAUUGUAAAGCUCAACCAGAGCCUACUCUUUUGUCUCUGUCAUUGCGUGCUUCCUUCUUUUAUUAUCUUUGCUGUCUCAUUUUUAAGAAUACACAUUUUUGUAUCUGAAUUUCUUCUCUGAGCUUGAAGAUGACAUUAUGCAAAAUACAACAGAA